rnacentral:rRNA from 1 species
UACAGAGGGUGCGAGCGUUAAUCGGAAUUACUGGGCGUAAAGCGUGCGUAGACGGUUAUUUAAGUCGGGUGUGAAAGCCCCGGGCUCAACCUGGGAAUUGCAUUCGAGACUGAAUAGCUAGGGUACGGUAGAGGGAAGUGGAAUUUCCGGUGUAGCGGUGAAAUGCGUAGAUAUCGGAAGGAACAUCAGUGGCGAAAGCGACUUCCUGGACCAGUACCGACGUUCAGGCACGAAAGCGUGGGGAGCAAACCGG